rnacentral:lncRNA from 1 species
AAAUUCUCUAUCUGUCUAGAAGCAGAUUCCACAGUAUUAUUGCAUAAAUAAAAAUUUUGUAAAAGAUCAUUUGAUAGUUUCAAUAAUAUGAUUAUCAUCAGCAAAACUUUGUCAAAAUUUAAAAGUUUUGUUGCAGAAGAUCGGUGUUACAAUAAACAACAUAAGAAGCAUGGGAAUUAUUUCAUAUCGAGUGACCUAGAGUUUCUGUUUGACUCAUCAAUUUUGCUAAAAUUUAAUGGGAAUAUGCAUAUAGGUUUCAGGGGAAACUGUGCAAAAUUUCAGUUCAAGAAAUGGUGUGGUUAAGACAACAAGGUUCUUUCUUAUGGAGAUCACUUGUGUAACCUGAAUUCAAUCAUGAAUAAUGUUCAAAGUUUCAAAUAUGAUUGUUGCAUAACAAUAACACUUAGUACUUUGAAUCUUUGCAAGCUUGUUUAAUUUUUUGUGUUACAUCC